rnacentral:rRNA from 1 species
AUGCAAGUCGACGAUGAACCGCUUUCGGGCGGGGAUUAGUGGCGAACGGGUGAGUAACACGUGGGCAAUCUGCCCUGCACUCUGGGACAAGCCCUGGAAACGGGGUCUAAUACCGGAUAUGACUGUCCAUCGCAUGGUGGAUGGUGUAAAGCUCCGGCGGUGCAGGAUGAGCCCGCGGCCUAUCAGCUUGUUGGUGAGGUAGUGGCUCACCAAGGCGACGACGGGUAGCCGGCCUGAGAGGGCGACCGGCCACACUGGGACUGAGACACGGCCCAGACUCCUACGGGAGGCAGCAGUGGGGAAUAUUGCACAAUGGGCGAAAGCCUGAUGCAGCGACGCCGCGUGAGGGAUGACGGCCUUCGGGUUGUAAACCUCUUUCAGCAGGGAAGAAGCGAAAGUGACGGUACCUGCAGAAGAAGCGCCGGCUAACUACGUGCCAGCAGCCGCGGUAAUACGUAGGGCGCAAGCGUUGUCCGGAAUUAUUGGGCGUAAAGAGCUCGUAGGCGGCUUGUCACGUCGGUUGUGAAAGCCCGGGGCUUAACCCCGGGUCUGCAGUCGAUACGGGCAGGCUAGAGUUCGGUAGGGGAGAUCGGAAUUCCUGGUGUAGCGGUGAAAUGCGCAGAUAUCAGGAGGAACACCGGUGGCGAAGGCGGAUCUCUGGGCCGAUACUGACGCUGAGGAGCGAAAGCGUGGGGAGCGAACAGGAUUAGAUACCCUGGUAGUCCACGCCGUAAACGGUGGGCACUAGGUGUGGGCAACAUUCCACGUUGUCCGUGCCGCAGCUAACGCAUUAAGUGCCCCGCCUGGGGAGUACGGCCGCAAGGCUAAAACUCAAAGGAAUUGACGGGGGCCCGCACAAGCGGCGGAGCAUGUGGCUUAAUUCGACGCAACGCGAAGAACCUUACCAAGGCUUGACAUACACCGGAAACGUCUGGAGACAGGCGCCCCCUUGUGGUCGGUGUACAGGUGGUGCAUGGCUGUCUUCAGCUCUGGUCUUGAGAAGUUUGGUUAAGUCCCGCAACGAGGGCAACCCUUGUCCCGGGUUGCCAGCAGGCCCUUGUGGUGCUGGGGACUCACGGGAGACCGCCGGGGUCAACUCGGAGGAAGGUGGGGACGACGUCAAGUCAUCAUGCCCCUUAUGUCUUGGGCUGCACACGUGCUACAAUGGCCGGUACAAUGAGCUGCGAUACCGCGAGGUGGAGCGAAUCUCAAAAAGCCGGUCUCAGUUCGGAUUGGGGUCUGCAACUCGACCCCAUGAAGUCGGAGUCGCUAGUAAUCGCAGAUCAGCAUUGCUGCGGUGAAUACGUUCCCGGGCCUUGUACACACCGCCCGUCACGUCACGAAAGUCGGUAACACCCGAAGC